rnacentral:rRNA from 1 species
GACGAACGCUGGCGGCGUGCCUAACACAUGCAAGUCGAACGGAGAAUUAGCAAUAAUUCUUAGUGGCGAACGGGUGAGUAACGCGUAGACAACCUACCCUUAAGAUGGGGACAACAGAUCGAAAGGCCUGCUAAUACCGAAUAUUGUAAAAGAAACGCAUGUUUCUUUUACUAAAGAUGGCCUCUAUAUAUAAGCUAUUGCUAAAGGAUGGGUCUGCGUCUGAUUAGCUAGUUGGUAAGAUAAAAGCUCACCAAGGCAAUGAUCAGUAGCCGGGCUGAGAGGAUAGACGGCCACACUGGGACUGAGACACGGCCCAGACUCCUACGGGAGGCAGCAGUGGGGAAUCUUCCGCAAUGGACGAAAGUCUGACGGAGCAACGCCGCGUGAGUGAAGAAGGUUUUCGGAUCGUAAAGCUCUGUUGUUAAGGACGAAUGUAUAGAUUGUAAAUAAUGAUUUAUAAUGACGGUACUUAACGAGAAAGCCACGGCUAACUACGUGCCAGCCGCCGCAGUAA